ACAUGAAGCUGGAGUUGCUAGUAAUCGCGAAUCAGCAUGUCGCGGUGAAUACGUUCCCGGGCCUUGUACACACCGCCGUCACACCAUGGGAGUUUGUAACGCCCAAAGUCGGUGGCCUAACCUUUAUGGAGGGAGCCGCCUAAGGCGGGACAGAUGACUGGGGUGAAGUCGUAACAAGGUACC
rnacentral:rRNA from 1 species